GAUCAUGGCUCAGGACGAACGCUGGCGGCGUGCUUAACACAUGCAAGUCGAACGGGAUUUAGUAGACAGAAGCUUCGGUGGAAGAUUACUAAUGAGAGUGGCGAACGGGUGAGUAACGCGUGAGCAACCUGCCUAUGACAGUGGGAUAGCCUCGGGAAACCGGGAUUAAUACCGCAUAAAAUCGUAGAAACACAUGUUUUAACGGUCAAAGAUUUAUCGGUCAUAGAUGGGCUCGCGUCUGAUUAG
rnacentral:rRNA from 1 species